GAUGAACGCUGGCGGCGUGCCUAAUACAUGCAAGUCGAGCGAACGGACGAGAAGCUUGCUUCUCUGAUGUUAGCGGCGGACGGGUGAGUAACACGUGGAUAACCUACCUAUAAGACUGGGAUAACUUCGGGAAACCGGAGCUAAUACCGGAUAAUAUUUUGAACCGCAUGGUUCAAAAGUGAAAGACGGUCUUGCUGUCACUUAUAGAUGGAUCCGCGCUGCUUUAGCUAGUUGGUAAGGUAACGGCUUACCAAGGCAACGAUGCAUAGCCGACCUGAGAGGGUGAUCGGCCACACUGGAACUGAGACACGGUCCAGACUCCUACGGGAGGCAGCAGUAGGGAAUCUUCCGCAAUGGGCGAAAGCCUGACGGAGCAACGCCGCGUGAGUGAUGAAGGUCUUCGGAUCAUAAAACUCUGUUAUUAGGGAAGAACAUAUGUGUAAGUAACUGUGCACAUCUUGACGGUACCUAAUCAGAAAGCCACGGCUAACUACGUG
rnacentral:rRNA from 1 species